rnacentral:rRNA from 1 species
GCUUACGGCCAUACCACCCUGAGAACGCCCGAUCUCGUCUGAUCUCGGAAGCUAAGCAGGGUCGGGCCUGGUUAGUCCUUGGAUGGGAGACCGCCUGGGAAUACCAGGUGCUGUAAACU